UACGGGGGGGGCAAGCGUUGUUCGGAAUUACUGGGCGUAAAGGCUCGUAGGCGGCCAACUAAGUCAUACGUGAAAUCCCUCGGCUUAACCGGGGAACUGCGUCUGAUACUGGAUGGCUUGAGUUCGGGAGAGGGAUGCGGAAUUCCAGGUGUAGCGGUGAAAUGCGCAGAUAUCAGGAGGAACACCGGUGGCGAAGGCGGGUCUCCGCUGGG
rnacentral:rRNA from 1 species